AUGAAAUACUAUUAUUUAAAAUUAUUGAAAGCCUGGUGUGCAAUGGCUGCAAAUAGCAGCCUCUGUGGUAGUGCACUCAGCCUGUUGCUUGUGUGAGUUGCCCUAAGGGAGCUUAGACAGUU
ensembl:snoRNA Gm25116 predicted gene, 25116